UACAGAGGAUGCAAGCGUUAUCCGGAAUGAUUGGGCGUAAAGCGUCUGUAGGUGGCUUUUUAAGUCCGCCGUCAAAUCCCAGGGCUCAACUCCGGAUCGGCGGUCGAUACUCUCGUGCUUGAGCACUGUGGAGGCAGAUGGAAUUCCGGGUGUAGCGGUGGAAUGCGUAGAGAUCCGGAAGAACACCGGUGGCGAAGGCGGUCUGCUGGGCAGUUGCUGACGCUGAGGCGCGACAGCGUGGGGAGCAAACAGG
rnacentral:rRNA from 1 species